AAUCUUGCGCAAUGGACGCAACUCUGAUGCAGCCAUGCCGCGUGAACGAUGAAGGUUUUCGGAUCGUAAAGCUCUGUAGGUAGGGAGGAAGGGGUGUCGAUCGAUACGGGCGGUACUGUAAGUGUACCUGACAAUAAGGCCACGCUUACCUAGUUGCAGCAGCCGCGGUAAUACAGAGGGUGCAAGCGUUGGUCGGAAUUACUGGGCGUAAAGCGCGCGUAGGUGGUUCAUUAAGUUUGAUGUGAAAUCCUGGGGCUUAACCGGGGAACUUCUUUGGUAACUGGGGGGCUUGAGUACAGUAGAGGAGAGUGGAAUUUCCUGUGUAGCGGUGAAAUGCGUAGAUAUGUGGAGGAACACCAGUGGCGAAGGCGACUACCUGGUCUGUGACUGACGCUGAGGCGCGAAAGCGUGGGGAGCAAACA
rnacentral:rRNA from 1 species